AAUCAACGCUGGCGGCGUGCCUCAGACAUGCAAGUCGAACGAUUAAAGCUCUCUUCGGAGAGUGCAUAGAGUGGCGCACGAGUGAGUAACACGUAAGUAAUCUACCUUCGAGUGGGGAAUAACGUCCGGAAACGGACGCUAAUACCGCAUAAUGCAGCGGCAUCGUAAGAUGACAGUUGUUAAAGAUUUAUCGCUUGAAGAGGAGCUUGCGGCAGAUUAGCUAGUUGGUAAGGUAAUGGCUUACCAAGGCUACGAUCUGUAACCGGUCUUAGAGGACGGUCGGUCACACUGACACUGAAUAACGGGUCAGACUCCUACGGGAGGCAGCAGUCGGGAAUUUUGGGCAAUGGGCGAAAGCCUGACCCAGCAACGCCGCGUGAAGGAUGAAGUAUUUCGGUAUGUAAACUUCGAAAGAAUAGGAAGAAUAAAUGACGGUACUAUUUAUAAGGUCCGGCUAACUACGUG
rnacentral:rRNA from 1 species